CCGCGAAGCUUCGCUUGCUGAGCUAGUAAGUGGCGCACGGGUGAGUAACGCGUGGGUAAUCUACCUCCAAAUUGGGGAUAACAUUGCGAAAGCGAUGCUAAUACCGAAUGAUAUCUCAAAAACUUUGGUUUCUGAGAUCAAAGGUGGCCUCUCCAUGGAAGCUACUGUUAGGAGAUGAGCCCGCGUACCAUUAGCUUGUUGGUAGGGUAAUGGCCUACCAAGGCAACGAUGGUAAGCUGGUCUGAGAGGAUGAUCAGCCACACUGGAACUGACACACGGUCCAGACUCCUACGGGAGGCAGCAGUGAGGAAUUUUGCGCAAUGGGGGAAACCCUGACGCAGCAACGCCGCGUGAGUGAUGAAGGCCUUCGGGUCGUAAAGCUCUGUCAAGUGGGAAGAACCUGCCCUGUGCUAAUAUCACCGGACACUGACGGUACCACUGAAGGAAGCACCGGCUAACUCCGUGCCAGCAGCCGCGGUAACACGGGGGGUGCAAGCGUUAUUCGGAAUCACUGGGCGUGAAGAGCGCGUAGGCGGUCUCUUAAGUCAGAUGUGAAAGCCCGGGGCUCAACCCCGGAAGUGCAUUUGAAACGAAGGGACUUGAGUAUGGGAGAGGGAAGUGGAAUUCCUGGUGUAGCGGUGAAAUGCGUA
rnacentral:rRNA from 1 species